rnacentral:rRNA from 1 species
UCUUUCCCUUUGUGACAUACCUAACCGUUGCUUCGGCGGGCAGGGGAAGCCUCU